rnacentral:rRNA from 1 species
UCCUACGGGAGGCAGCAGUGGGGAAUAUUGCACAAUGGGCGCAAGCCUGAUGCAGCAACGCCGCGUGAGGGACGAAGGCCUUCGGGUUGUAAACCUCUUUUAGUAGGGAAGAAGCGACUGGGUUUUCCUGGGAGUGACGGUACCUGCAGAAAAAGCACCGGCUAACUACGUGCCAGCAGCCGCGGUAAUACGUAGGGUGCAAGCGUUGUCGGAAUUAUUGGGCGUAAAGAGCUCGUAGGCGGUUUGUCGCGUCUGCUGUGAAAACCCGAGGCUCAACCUCGGGCCUGCAGUGGGUACGGGCAGACUAGAGUGCGGUAGGGGAGAUUGGAAUUCCUGGUGUAGCGGUGGAAUGCGCAGAUAUCAGGAGGAACACCAAUGGCGAAGGCAGAUCUCUGGGCCGUAACUGACGCUGAGGAGCGAAAGCAUGGGGAGCGAACAGGAUUAGAUACCCUGGUAGUCCAUGCCGUAAACGUUGGGAACUAGAUGUGGGGACCAUUCCACGGUCUCCGUGUCGCAGCUAACGCAUUAAGUUCCCCGCCUGGGGAGUACGGCCGCAAGGCUAAAACUCAAAGGAAUUGACGGGGGCCCGCACAAGCGGCGGAGCAUGCGGAUUAAUUCGAUGCAACGCGAAGAACCUUACCAAGGCUUGACAUAUACCGGAAACGGCUGGAAACAGUCGCCCCGCAAGGUCGGUAUACAGGUGGUGCAUGGUUGUCGUCAGCUCGUGUCGUGAGAUGUUGGGUUAAGUCCCGCAACGAGCGCAACCCUCGUCCUAUGUUGCCAGCACGUAAUGGUGGGAACUCAUGGGAUACUGCCGGGGUCAACUCGGAGGAAGGUGGGGAUGUCGUCAAAUCAUCAUGCCCCUUAUGUCUUGGGCUUCACGCAUGCUACAAUGGCCGGUACAAAGGGCUGCGAUACCGCAAGGUGGAGCGAAUCCCAAAAAGCCGGUCUCAGUUCGGAUUGAGGUCUGCAACUCGACCUCAUGAAGUCGGAGUCGCUAGUAACCGCAGAUCAGCAACGCUGCGGUGAAUACGUUCCCGGGCCUUGUACACACCGCC